GUCGAACGCUGGCGGCGUGCUUAACACAUGCAAGUCGAACGGAAAGGCCCUGCUUUUUUGGGGUGCUCGAGUGGCGAACGGGUGAGUAACACGUGAGUAACCUGCCCUUUACUGGGGGAUAACUUCAGGAAACUGGGGCUAAUACCGGCUAGGAGCUCCUGCUGCAUGGUGGGGGUUGGAAAGUUUCGGCGGGUGGGGAUGGACUCGCGGCUGAUCAGCUUGUUGGUGGGGUAGUGGCUUACCAAGGCUUUGACGGGUAGCCGGCCUGAGAGGGUGAACGGCGACAAUGGGACUAAGGUACGGCCCAGAGUGCUACGGUAGGCAGUAGUGGGGAAUAUUGCACAAUGGGGGGAAGCGUGAUGAAGAAACGCCGCGUGCGGGAUGACGGCCUUCGGGUUGUGAAGCGCUUUCACCUAAGACGAAGCGUGAGUGACGGUAAUGGGUAAAGAAGCACCGGCUAACUACGUG
rnacentral:rRNA from 1 species